UACGGGGGAGCAAGCGUUGUUCGGAUUUACUGGGCGUAAAGGGCACGUAGGCGGUCAGCACAAGUCAGUUGUGAAUCUCCGGGCUUAACUCGGAAAGGUCAACUGAUACUGUGCGACUAGAGUGCGGAAGGGCAACUGGAAUUCUCGGUGUAGCGGUGAAAUGCGUAGAUAUCGAGAGGAACACCUGCGGCGAAGGCGGGUUGCUGGGCCGACACUGACGCUGAUGCGCGAAAGCCAGGGGAGCGAACGGG
rnacentral:rRNA from 1 species